CGAACGCUGGCGGCGUGCUUAACACAUGCAAGUCGAACGCGAAAGGGACUUCGGUCCUGAGUAAAGUGGCGCACGGGUGAGUAACGCGUAGAUAACCUGUCUUCAUGUCUGGAAUAAUACGCCGAAAGGGGUACUAAUACCGGAUAUUCUUGCUUUUCAUAAGUUAUGCAAGCAAAGGUGGCCUCUGCAUAUGCUACUGCAUGAAGAGGGGUCUGCGUACCAUUAGCUGGUAGGUGGGGUAAUGGCCUACCUAGGCGACGAUGGUUAGCGGGUCUGAGAGGAUGAUCCGCCACACUGGCACUGGAACACGGGCCAGACUCCUACGGGAGGCAGCAGUGAGGAAUAUUGCGCAAUGGGGGAAACCCUGAUGCAGCGACGCCGCGUGAGUGAGGAAAGGCCUUCGGGUCGUAAAGCUCUGUCAAGAGGAAAGAAGUGUACAAUGGCUAAUACCUGUUGUAUUUGACGGUACCUCUAAAGGAAGCACCGGCUAACUCCGUGCCAGCAGCAGC
rnacentral:rRNA from 1 species